rnacentral:rRNA from 1 species
UACGUAGGGUGCAAGCGUUGUCCGGAAUUAUUGGGCGUAAAGAGCUCGUGAGGCGGUCUGUCGCGUCGGCUGUGAAAUCCCGGAGCUCAACUCCGGGCCUGCAGUCGAUACGGGCAGACUGGAGUUCGGCAGGGGAGACUGGAAUUCCUGGUGUAGCGGUGAAAUGCGCAGAUAUCAGGAGGAACACCGGUGGCGAAGGCGGGUCUCUGGGCCGAUACUGACGCUGAGGAGCGAAAGCGUGGGGAGCGAACAGG